CCUACGGGAGGCAGCAGUGGGGAAUCUUGCGCAAUGGGCGAAAGCCUGACGCAGCCAUGCCGCGUGAAUGAUGAAGGUCUUAGGAUUGUAAAAUUCUUUCACCGGGGACGAUAAUGACGGUACCCGGAGAAGAAGCCCCGGCUAACUUCGUGCCAGCAGCCGCGGUAAUACGAAGGGGGGCUAGCGUUGCUCGGAAUUACUGGGCGUAAAGGGAGCGUAGGCGGAUAGUUUAGUCAGAGGUGAAAGCCCAGGGCUCAACCUUGGAAUUGCCUUUGAUACUGGCUAUCUUGAGUAUGGGAGAGGUUAGCGGAACUCCGAGUGUAGAGGUGAAAUUCGUAGAUAUUCGGAAGAACACCAGUGGCGAAGGCGGCUAACUGGCCCAUUACUGACGCUGAGGCUCGAAAGCGUGGGGAGCAAACAGGAUUAGAUACCCUGGUAGUCCACGCCGUAAACGAUGAGUGCUAGUUGUCGGCAUGCAUGCAUGUCGGUGACGCAGCUACGACAUAAGACACUCCGCCGUCGGGAGGUACGGUCGCGAGAAGUUAAACGUUAAAGGUAAAGUUAGUUACGGACGUGAGACGUGCCGACGGACGACGACGAGGGAGGAGG
rnacentral:rRNA from 1 species